rnacentral:snoRNA from 1 species
AUCCUCCAAAUGCCUUACCCCUCCGACCUAAACUUUGAGCUGAGGGGCGAUAAAAGGAGGAGAAGUAAACCUGAAGUGACACGCAAGUUUGUUUCAAACAAAU